UUUGACACCAACAGCUGCAAGAUGCUGUGACGAAAUUUUGGGUUUCUUUGAGACUUCUUUUUGCAUCAGCUGGUCUGCUCUUGGGCUGAAUUUGCUGGGACGGCAAGGAUGUUAGGGCAGAUUUCAACUAGGCUAUAUCAAUAUUUUAGAUCAGACUCCAACCAGGUUGAAAAAGUAUGUUGGAUCAGAUCCCAACUAGGCUAUAUGUGAAUGCUAGAUCAGAUUCCAGCCAGGUUGAAAAAGGAUGUUGGAUCGGAUCCCAACUAGGCUAUAUCAAUAUUUUAGAUCAGACUCCAACCAGGUUGAAAAAGUAUGUUGGAUCAGAUCCCAACUAGGCUAUAUGUGAAUGCUAGAUCAGAUUCCAGCCAGGUUGAAAAAGGAUGUUGGAUCGGAUCCCAACUAGGCUAUAUGUGAAUGCUAGAUCAGACUCCAACCAGGUUGAAAAAGGAUGUUCGAUCUGAUCCCUGCAAGUUAUACUAGAAUGUUAGGUAAGAUCACAGGCAGCUUGUAUCAGGAUGUUGGCUCAGAUCCCAACCAGGUUAUAUGUGAAUGUUAGAUCAGAUUCCAACCUGGUUAUAUGAGACUGUUAGAUCAGAUCCCAACUGGUUAUGCCAGGAUGUUAGAUCAGAUCCCAACCAG
ensembl:lncRNA